rnacentral:rRNA from 1 species
AUGAGCGAAAAUGCAGAAAUCAGUGCAAUAUUUUGUUAUCGAUUGAUCUCCCCAGGAGGACAAUGCACAGAGUGGAAACAAAUUCGAGUGUUGAACUUAUCUAGUGCAGAAGGAAAAUGUAGGAUGGGAGGGUGGGAGAAGGUCAUGGGGAAAACUUUGCUUGAAGCUGAAUAUGUGGAAUUUGACCGCUUCUUGAUUGAAUUUUCCAUCUCUGUUAUGAACGAUCCACUGGUCACUUGCAGUGACUUAUUAUCACCCCAAGAGAAGCUGCCACCAUCACACAUAUCAACCGACUUUGCCAAUCUUCUAGAGUCAAAAGAAGGGGCGGACGUGACAAAAGCGCAUAAGUUGUAG